UCAGAAACUAAUCUAUCUGUCUGAUGUUAAUGUUUGAGUACUAAUAAAAACAGUGUAAAGCAUGUUCUAAUCCGUAAAUAACUGUGGAGCUAAAAGUUUUUAUUUUUAACAACAAUUGUUUUGAACCUAAAUGUGUUUUAGCCUCAAGUUGUAACUGCCAGCAUGUGGAAAUAUCUACACCCUGACUUUGCAUCGUACCUGCUUGGUGAACUGCAGAAACAGCAGCAGGGAAGCAUCUUCUGUGACACACUUCUACAGACAGAUGGUGUCUGUGUUCCAGCUCACAGCUGUGUUUUAGCUACUCUAAGUCCCGUCUUCUCCAGAGACCUCUCCUCCUCCCCUGCUCCACCAGCAGGGCAGAACAGACUUGUAAGCCUCGAGGCUAUAGGAUCUCAAGCCUUACUGAAGCUAGUUGGGUUCCUGUACACUGGAGACAUGGAGGGUAGAAAGUCUGAGCGAACAUGAGGAAGUAAUAUCUGCUGCCCACAGACUUGGCUUUAGAAACCUCAUUGAGAACAAGAGAGUGCUGGUGGAAAGACGAGUUGAGGAUGUUGGGAGAAGUUGGAGAGAGACUGGUGUACAGAGAGAAGACCACGUAAAGGAAAUUGAGAGUGGGCCUGCGCUUUUGUAGAAGCAAAGCAGUACUUGUUACAUUGCAAAUAAUAUUGAUGCUCCAGUGCAACCUUAUGGUUUGCUGGAACCCGAUUUACCACCAACGCAGUCAUUUGAUGAAGCUAGUCAAGCUAGAGGUUUUAAUUGCAUCGGUGACGUCACUGUUCCUCCUCCCACUGACAUGGCAGACACAUCAGUAUCAAACCAUCAUGAAACAAAGGCUAAGAAGAGGUGGGAAUGGGAAAGGCCAAAGAGAGGAAGCCAAUUAAACAAACAAACUUUGCAACCAGGUCAAGCUCCUUAAUGUUGAAGGGACCAAGUCAAACCCAGUUGGAGUGGUGGAAAGAAGUAGAAAUGUUUUGGGCAAAGACUACCAAAAACUUUGGAAGUCACAAAACAAAAAAGAGGCCAAAGUAGGCAAGAACAAAUUGAAGAUAAAACUGAGGAGGAAGAAAUGAACUCAGUGGGAAAGCAGUCUCCUUGUCUUCGAGGGCGAGAGCGAGACAGAUAAAGCGAAAGUUUGUGGACCUCUAACUUCGAACUGCCCAUCUGGUGUACUUCCUGGUCAAAGUCUUGGAACUCUCACCCUUCCAACGGACCUGCCCAUUUCACCUUCGGAUUCUUCCACACAUGCCUCUUCAGAUAACCUGUGUCUUCAUACUGCAAAUCACAUUUCUGUCUCUUCGCGUUUGGAUGUUCCAACUUUAUCUUCAAGCCCUCCCCAAGCAGAUGAAUCUGAUGAACAGACUGCAGUGCUCUUGGAGGAUAUCUUCAUGAUGGGUUUAAACUUCCUGCCUUUGAUGCCAAUUGACAGAGAUCUGGAUGAGCAUCAGCUGAACCAGCUAGGUUCUCUUCAGGAAGAUAAAAGUGGGCAAAAUGGGACUGAGACCUCGGCUGAAGGUUCUUGUCUUGUUCUGCAAUGCUGUGAGCCAGAGGUGAGGGAAUUGGAAAUUAGAAAGACAGCAACACCACCUGGGUGUCCAGGACAUAGAGAUGAGGGUAAAGAAUUACCUUAAAAUGUAUUUGUGUCAUGUUACUUUAGACCAUGUAUGUGUGUAUGAAUGAUGAGGGAAGGGGAAGCAUUACUUAAAACAUGAAUGAUACCUUAAAUCAUGUGGUUUGUUGAGUAAAGGGGUGCUAUUACUUUUCCACACAAUUGAACUUGGCAGCCUGGCAGCUGAUAAAACAUGUCAAAAAAUAAAAACAUAGACAUACAUUGAAGGAGUGUACCAGUGGCGAAUUCUUAAGAUUACGAGGGAAGCAUGGCUUCCCCUAAAAUUUUUAUAAUACGGCAAUAAAUUCAAGAUAAGUACAAGUAAUCUACAUAUAUGACGCAUUACUUUUUGUGCAUUUCAAUAUUUUGGUGAAUACACAUGACAAAUAUCACACAUCACUAUCGCGCUGUAUGUUCAAGUAAUGCAAUCGCCUUUUUCUACAUGAAUGUCCAUAAAAGACAGUGGACACACAGUGCUAAGAGCGCUGUUGAAGCCAUGCUAUAAUGAGUCUAUGGCAGAUACCAGUAACAUUCAAAUCAAUGGCGCAAAAGAUCGAAGUUCAUUGGACGAAAGGCAUAUUUGUUUUCUCCCACCUAGACACCUUGCUUCACUUGGAGUCUAUGGAAGCUUCGUGAGCGCUAUUUGCAUUGGAUCUGCUUCAGAUUGCCUAUUGGACAUUGGGCUUUCAAUCAAUGUAUUUUUGGCCUCUCUAUUUUAUGAUUGGUCAAUCUCUCAAAUGGGUGGGACUUUGCAACAAACAGCCAACAAUUGAAAUGCUUUACCUGAUUGACAGCGUUAGAAAUGUGAGAGCACCUCUGUCGAGUACAGUGUGUUUGGUGGCAGCUCGAAGAAACAUGCUCUGUUAUUUACAAUCUGACAUAACACAUUUAUUUCAGCUUUCAUUAUAUAUAUUUUGCUUAUUACUACUUUAAAAUGUUGCAAAAACUGAUUUGGGCUAGGUUAAUUUUGAGUAAUAGUUUGAGCAGCUUUUGGGAGCAACAUUUUCCCAAUUCUUACCUCUAUAUUUAUUCAGAUGGAAUGAGAUGGAGGAUUUUUAAGAUAUCUUUAAAAAUACUUUUGAAAGAGCAGUUUACCCAAAAAUGAAAUUUCUGUAAUCAUUACCUUCAAACCUGUAUGACUUUCUUCUGUGGAACUGAAAAGACGUCUCAGUCACCAUUCACUGUCACUACAUCUUUUUUGUUUUUUCAUAAAAUGAGAGUGAAUGGUGACUAAAACUAACAAUCUCUCUAACAUCUCUUUUGAGUUCCAUGGAAGAAAAAAGGUCACACAAGUUAGCAACAACAUGAAGGUGAGUUAGUAAUGACAGAAUUUACAUUUUUGAGUGAACUGUCCCUUUAAGAGAACAUGUUAAUUCUCACCAGUUACAUUAGUAAUGGCUGUUUAAUAAAAAAUGCAUUGAAAAUGUUAACAGAUUAAAUCCUAAGAGAACAUUGCUUAUUUCAUAAGUAUAUUAAAGGUAGAUGGAUUAAUAUAUUUUAAUAUUAAGUAUAUUAUAGUAUUUAUAUUACUAUAUCAUAAUUGUUUAUAUAUAUAUUAUUAAAUUCCCUGCAUUGUGAACGUGGAACAUGCAGGAAUUUGGGAAAUUUGUGUGCAAUGCCCACAAUUUUGCGCAAAAAUUCAGGCCAUGAAUGUGCUUCCCUACUCUUGAAAAGUACCAACUGGCCCUGCUUGCAUUGUAGCAGUGAAUUUUGCAUAGCCAAGCACCAAGCAUUUUCUUCACAAUGUAAACAUGUAAAAAUAUAUUGUUCUCCUGGCUCUCUCUCUUACAGUAUUUUUCUGAAAUCUCUUCCUACUUUGCUCAAUGCCACUGUCUGCUCCAAACUUUAUAUCACUCUGCACAUGCCUACUUCUCUUAAACAAAAUGUGAUGGGCCUAUCUUGGUCGUAACCACUGACUACACUUCUUAUUUUUCAGAGAUUGACCACUCGGCCUUUCAAAAUCAGUCGAGAUCCAAUUCAGUUCAUGCUCAGUCACCUGGACAUGAACUUUAUGCUUCAACUUCCCACUUGAGAAAAGUUAAAAAUAUUGCGACUAUGCCAAGAGACUAUACUCCUUCAUUAGUAGAAGACAUAUUAUAAACCCAAAAAAACGCAUUUGUCCCAGACUGCCCCUUCCCUUCAACUAGGGAAAUGUCAGACCUUGUUAUGACCGGCAUACCUGAUGACAGGCUAGAUUACAAACUUCAAAGAUGCCUUUCCCCCCUUGAAUCAGAAAAGGCAAACCGUGAUGUUUCUUCACAAGAGCCUUCAAGAACAUCUCAUGAUGAGGUCUCUGAAUCACACAAGCAUUACCCAGAAACACAAACUCUUCCCCAGUGGCUUUCUACAUCACCUGUGAAAUGGGACUUCCCUCUGAACUUAAUGAUUGAUUCAUCUCGCCCACGUCCAUUGCUUGACUGCAGUGGUUCUCUAAAUCAAUCAUGCCCUGAGCUAACAACAAAGCAGGAGUUUAAGACUUCAAACCAUGAUUUCAUCACUGGGAUGGGCAUAAACAUGGUUCAAGCUGAGCACCCUAAGCUGAGUAUGACCAGACGUUGGAGACUUGCAUCUCAAAGGCCAAAAGUUAAAGGGGACACAGAGUGUCAAAACCUAGAACGCAAGUCUCAAGUUCAACCGAGGAUAUCCAAGACUAAGGGCGAUGAUAAUUUGGAAGAGACCCUCAAUGGAAAUUUUAACCUGUCAACCUCUAAUUUGCAUGAAGUUAGGACCCAAAAGACCACAACUCGUGCAAACAGAAAAACAGUUUCUGGUGUGAAGAGAAGGCGAGAAUUUUUUUUUACCUCUCAUUAAUAAAAAGCCUCUGUUGGACACCACCAGUGAACAACAUGAAAAUAAUGAUUAUGUACCCAAAGCACAGGUCACUAUAGGCGUGGCAGACCCCCUUAAUAAUAAUUUUAAAAAACCGCACUGCAGCUCUCCAGCAAAAUUGUAGCAAUGCGAAGAAAUCGGGCGAACCACCUUUAGUUUCAGCAAGACCACUUGUUCAGGCUAAGAUAAAUGUGAAAUGGAGAAAACAAAGACAGGCAAUGAGUUUUAACAGGACAACACACAAGAACCAAAUCAGAAGAAAGGCUCGACAGAAAUGGGGGAAGCCAAUAUUAACAACAAUUUUGAAGAGACAAAGCAGAAUCCUCAAUUGAAAUAUGCUGGCCAGCCAAAAGGAUCAAGUAUCCUUGAUAAAGAUUUUCCAUCAGACUUGCCCAAGAGUUGAAAGUACCUUCUGUGGGAGUUCUAUGCUGAUUGAUCAGCAACUAACAUCAAGCCUGCAAGAAACAUCUUUCACCUCUCAGAGAUUCCUAGGACUUAGAGGAAAGUGAAGACAGAUGUAGCAAAUUAGUAGUGAACAGUGAACCGAGCAAUCAGGUUAUUUGUGGGGAAAACAAAAUAGAGCCAUCUGUGUAGACAAAUGAUAAGGAAGACAUAGAGGAAUUUGAUAACCAAAAAAGGUUACAGUUCUCACAUAGUAACAUGCCAGAUAAUGUGGAAUGUUCAGUUAAAGAUGAAGACAGAUUUGUCAUUGAAUAGAACGCUGGUAGAGCAGCCAACUCUUUUGUGAUGAGAAGAGUUGUGAUUUACAAAAGGAGAUGGGACAAGACAUUCAAGACCAACCCACAAAAAUGUCUGUCCAUGCUUUAAUAUCUAAGGACAUAACGAAGGAUGUUGUAAUGCCUGUUGAUGAAUAAACCAACAGUGCUGGAGGAAAUAGACAUGAAAAUAAUUGUGCAAGAGAUGCACACCCGGAUCGUUAUGAAUCCUGAUGGUACACAAGCAGAAUGUGUGUGGUGAACACAAUUCAGAAGCUACACUUUCUAAUAAGCAUUAUUCGGGGUGACCACAGACAACAACAAAGACUUUCAGACAGUAUGCAGUGAAAACACUCAGGUUAUUAACUGGGUGGUUGAUUGUCUCGAGAAUGAGGAAGAGGAGGAUAUAACUAGGUGCAGAGUGGUUCAGACAGUGGAAUAAACUUUUGAGGAUGAAGAAACUGAAGUUCAGGGGGCAAGCAAUAAAACUGUAGGGGAAAAUACUCUGCUCAGUUCAGAGGGUGGAUGUCGGGAAACCACUAAUGGGUGGGAUGACAAUGAUAUUGAUGAGGAAGGGGGCCAAAACAUUGAGAUGGUUGGUGGACAGAGGAGGAGGAGGCAGCAGCAAGUGCUAGGAUUGUUAUAGAUCUGACACAGACACACAAGUAAUAUAUGUAGAGAGGAUUCUUCUGUCCAAAUUGAUGAGGUAACCAAUCGGUCAAACUCCCACAGCCCCAGCAUGCACAAUGAGGAUGUCUCAGCUGUGCUGUCCACUGUGGCCAACUCAGCUUCGGAAGAUGACUGCCCCUCAGAAGAAAAGAUUGAAGUAGAUGUUCUAGAGGAUUCUGCAGAAACUCCUUCAUGGUAUUUAGCAGCUAUACAGAUCACCAGCCUGCCUGUUGAUGGUCUGCAGAACCAAGAGAUUGAGAUGGAUAUGAUGGAAGGAGGUAGAUUUCACUGGCGAAGAGACUGAAUUAAAUUUCAAGAUGGGAAUACAUCUUUAACAGUUUAACGUUUGCAAAUGUUUGAGCUUAGCACUUUGAGGUUUAAGAUUAUAACAAUUGACAAGAAUUGUUUUUGUCUGUUUGACAUCACUUAUGUGAAUUAAUUUGUUUUUGC